GAUGAACGCUGGCGGCGUGCCUAAUACAUGCAGGUCGAGCGAACAAACGGGGAGCUUGCUCCUCUGACGUUGGCGGCGGACGGGUGAGCAACACGUGGAUAACCUACCUAUAAGACUGGGAUAACUUCGGGAGACCGGAGCUAGUACCCGAUAAUAUAUUGAACCGCAUGGUUCAAUAGUGAUCGAGCGUUUUGCUGACACUUGUAGGUAGAUCCUCGCCGCAUUAGCUAGUUGGUAAGGUAACGGCUUACCAAGGCAACGAUGCGUAGCCGACCUGAGAGGGUGAUCGGCCACACUGGAACUGAGACACGGUCCAGACUCCUACGGGAGGCAGCAGUAGGGAAUCUUCCGCAAUGGGCGAAAGCCUGACGGAGCAACGCCGCGUGAGUGAUGAAGGUCUUCGGAUCGUAAAACUCUGUUAGUAGGGAAGAACAAAUGUGUAAGUAACUAUGCACGUCUUGACGGUACCUAAAGAGAAAGCCACGGCUAACUACGUG
rnacentral:rRNA from 1 species